rnacentral:lncRNA from 1 species
CUCAAGUGAGGAUUAACGACCCCUGCAGAGGUUCUGCAGUGAAAGGGACAAGGCUUUGGACGCAAGCGGCAGAGAUGGAGAUCUGGGGCACCUGCAUCGUCAGCAGUGGAGCUUCGCCAGGGCUGAAAGAAAUCGCCCGUGCGUUGGUCGAGGUUCCUGCCACCGAGCGUCGUCGGGCUGUAAACCUCUGUGUCCAGAUCUCCCGGCAGAAAGCGUCCGGCGCUGCCCUCAGCGGCAGGCAGUGAGUGCUCGCCCGGGGCCCCUCGACGCCGGGGGGCCGGCAGCAUUUUGCAGUCGUGGUGUGACCUGAAGGGAGUCUGAAGCAGCGUUUGAGCGACAAGCCCCUUCCGAAAACACGCUCGUCAAGUCGUCCCGCACAGCGUAUCUGAAUGGCCACGGCACGGGUGGCCUGGGCAAGAAACAAUAUUUGCAGAGAAGUAAAACUGUUUGGGAGUCAAAUUCCCCUUGACAGAAGCCAACUGAAACCUUGUGGUUUAACUCCGAGGCAGUACAAGAUGUGGAGCAGUUGGAUGCAGCCGCGGUUUCCAGCUGCAGGCAGCAGAGCCCGGACUGGUGGCACCACAAGCCUGGCUUCCCCUCUAGCGAUCGCAUUGCGUCCAGAGGCGGUUAACUCAUACUGCGUAGCCUUAUACGCCUUUGCGUGCCGUAAAGAACUGCUGAAGUGA